UUUACAGACCGUCAAGGACGUUAGAAGGUGAAAUGGAAAAUAACACAACAAGCCUCAGUAUAUUUUCUUUUCUGUUUUCUUUAAAGUAUCAGAAUCAGAAGCAUUUUAUUCGCCAUAUACAUUUACGCGUAUUAGGAAUUUUUCUUGGUGUUUUGGUCACACCACGGAACCUUCAACACACACCUCACACAAUUAUCAUACUUAUACACGAAUAUUACACCUAAUAUACGAGUAUUACACCGUAAGUGGGAAUGUUACGCUCGGUUGUAAUUUACAUUCUUCUGAAGCAAAGAGAAAGGAAAUAGAAGAGGGGAGGAAAGGGGAAAAAAUGGAGAGAAAAAAGGAGAAAAUAAAGAAAUAUUAUGCAGAAAUAUUAUUAUUCUUAAAAUGUUUAUUUAUUCAUUCAUUUAUAACACAGAAAUAGAAGAAUAUACAAAAGGGGUGGAACGCAAGAUAUAUACACAACUUAUAUACACAAUACAUCCAAAAGGUCGUUAUUUCAUUAAAUUAAUACAAAUAUUAAACUAUUCACAUGUACUGCAGGCAAAUAUCUUCGCGUAGUUUUAUAGACGAGGUUAAUGAAAACUCCAGACUACUCAGGAUAUUUAGAUAUUACUGAAAGCACUUUUAUAGAAUCUUAAUGCUGAAACGUUGAGAAUAACAUAGCUAAUAUGUGCUAAUGUUGUGAAAGCUAAUCCAAGCGUUUCCGGAUUGUGGACAGGAAAAACUCGUGAUAUCCAAUAGGAUGGGUCUAAAUUGAUCACGUGAUGUAGAAACAGCCAAUCAGCGGGUUAAUUAAAUCAGUUCGCUUUAAUGAAGCUCUUCGUUUGUAACAGUGGAGGAGCUAAAAAUAAUCCGAAUGGAUUUCGAUUGGAAACAUUAUUUAAAAAAAAUGCAGCUGAAGAGCUCCGGGAGAGGAAAGAGAGAAUAAAGUGGACAGAAGUGUCAGGGAUAAUAAUAGUUAUCAGGAGAGACGAAGACAGUCCUUUCCACCAGAUUUUGGCCGGAGCAGAUUAAUGAGAAGCAGACCUGACCGAAGAUCUGUAUCUCCACCUCAAACACACCAGGAGAACUUUCUCCUCCACAAAACUCCAUGAAGUUCCUCUCACCCUCUUCAGGUCAAAGUUCUU